rnacentral:rRNA from 1 species
CCUACGGGCGACAGCAGUGAGGAAUAUUGGUCAAUGGACGAGAGUCUGAACCAGCAAAGUAGCGUGAAGGAUGACUGCCCUAUGGGUUGUAAACUUCUUUUAUAUGGGAAUAAAAUGUUCCACGUGUGGGAUUUUGUAUGUACCAUAUGAAUAAGGAUCGGCUAACGCCGUGCCAGCAGCCGCGGUAAUACGGAGGAUCCGAGCGUUAUCCGGAUUUAUUGGGUUUAAAGGGAGCGUAGGUGGAUUGUUAAGUCAGUUGUGAAAGUUUGCGGCUCAACCGUAAAAUUGCAGUUGAAACUGGCAGUCUUGAGUACAGGAGAGGUGGGCGGAAUUCGUGGUGUAGCGGUGAAAUGCUUAGAUAUCACGAAGAACUCCGAUUGCGAAGGCAGUUCACUGGACUGCAACUGACACUGAGGCUCGAAAGUGUGGGUAUCAAACAGGAUUAGAUACCCGUGUAGUC